rnacentral:rRNA from 1 species
GACGAACCGUGCAAACGUUGUUCGGAAUCACUGGGCUUAAAGGGCGCGUAGGCGGGCGUUCAAGUCAGGGGUGAAAUCCCCCAGCUCAACUGGGGAACUGCCUCUGAUACUGGGUGCCUCGAGUGAGGUAGGGGCGUGCGGAACUGAUGGUGGAGCGGUGAAAUGUGUUGAUAUCAUCAGGAACUCCGGUGGCGGAAGCGGCGCGCUGGACCUUAACUGACGCUGAGACACGAAAGCGUGGGUAGCAAACAGG